AACCUUUACACUGCACGACAGUGCGAUAGGGGGACUCCGAGUGCGAGGGCGUAGAGCCCUCGCUUUUGUACACCGUAAGGUGGUGUACGAAUAAGAACUGGGCAAGACCGGUGCCAGCCGCCGCGGUAAUACCGGCAGUUCGAGUGAUGGCCGAUUUUAUUGGGCCUAAAGCGUUCGUAGCUGGCCGAUCAAGUCUGUCGGGAAAUCUGCUCGCCUAACGAGCAGGCGUCCGGCGGAAACUGAUCGGCUUGGGACCGGAAGACUCGAGGGGUACGUCCGGGGUAGGAGUGAAAUCCUGUAAUCCUGGACGGACCACCGAUGGCGAAAGCACCUCGAGAGCACGGAUCCGACAGUGAGGAACGAAAGCUGGGGUCUCGAACCGGAUUAGAUACCCGGGUAGUCCCAGCUGUCAACGAUGCCCGCUAGGUAUGGCGCAGGCUACGAGCCUGUGCUAUGCCGUAGCGAAGGCGCUAAGCGGGCCGCCUGGGAAGUACGUUCGCAAGAAUGAAACUUAA
rnacentral:rRNA from 1 species